CAACCAAGGAUUAAAAAAAUAUUAAAAAGCUUUACUACAAACAAAAUAACUGAAAAAAUAGUACAACAGUAAGGGACCCUCUUCCUUUUUCCUUUGUACCAGAGAUGUCAUCCCCAAAUUUUCACAGCAACAUGGCAGGUGAAAAAUCCCCCAAAAUUUUCCCCAAAUUUUUCCCUCUAAAAAUUUUGGGGAAAAAAUUAAUGGAGUUCCCCCCUUUCAUUUUGAAGACGCCGCUAAGCAAGAAAAAUGAACAAACCAGUAUUGAAGAGUUGCGAGGAGCGGUAUUUGUAAAAGAUCAAAUCCCGAUUUUGUGAGAAACCAUAGUUUUGCGACUAAUUAAUUCCCGCAAUUUGAGUAAGCUAAACAAAUUAAUCAAUAAAUGGUUGUGCGGUUGGCAAAAUGGAUUAUGAGAAUUUGGCGAACAAAGAAAUUGAGAUGACUGAGGUUAGGGUCAUUAUCCAAAGAUUCCCGAGGCCCCUUCCCAAGUUUGGCAUUGAUUAGGAUGCCUAAUGUUCUCCAUUUGAAGCUCAAGCAUGGAGAAGUGCAAGUUCCUAAAGACUCUAGGUCGUGCUUUCAAGCCGUGAGGGCACGAAUUCUCGUGUUGAACCCACAAUCUUGGAGUUUGGAAACUGCAAGGUCCUGUGUUUAUUAAGAGCAUUGAGUGAAACGCACGAGUAGCAUCGACAUGAUGGUGAAGAGGGUUGCCCUAUUCCCAGGCGCGGGCACGCGCGACUAUGGCGUGGCCGCCCGGCCUGGUGGCGCGGGCGCGCCUGUCUGGGUCUUUGUUCUGUACCAAGAUUUACGCGGCCGCGCUCCCCUUUAUAGUUGGCUGUGCCAGUACGGGUUUACUAUAUAUAGAUUUUCAUUCUAUUUUUAGAGAGAGAGUUCAUUUUUAGAAUUAUAAUAGGAAUUUUAGAUCAUUUUGUAGAGAGAGAAACUCUAGAUUGUAGAGUGAGAAGUUCUUGAUUGAUGAUUAAAGAUUGAUGAUUCUAGCAUUUUCUCCAUUGAAUUGAAGCAAGUUUGUAAGGAUUUCUUUUACUUUAAAGCAAUUUUUAGCAUAUGAUUUCAA